rnacentral:rRNA from 1 species
AGUGAACGCUGGCGGCAGGCCUAACACAUGCAAGUCGAACGGCAGCACAGUAAGAGCUUGCUCUUACGGGUGGCGACGGGCGGAUGGGUGAGAAAUACAUCGCAAUCUACUUUUUCUAGGGUGAGAACGUGGGGACACUUACGCUAAUAGCGCAUACGACCUACGGGUGAAAUCAGCGGAUCUUCGGACCUUGGGUGAUUCUAGGAGCGGAUGUCGGAUUAGCUAGUUGGCGGGGUAAAGGCCCACCAAGGCGACGAUCCGUAGCUGGUCUGAGAGGAUGAUCAGCCACACUGGAACUGAGACACGGUCCAGACUCCUACGGGAGGCAGCAGUGGGGAAUAUUGGACAAUGGGCGCAAGCCUGAUCCAGCCAUGCCGCGUGGGUGAAGAAGGCCUUCGGGUUGUAAAGCCCUUUUGUUGGGAAAGAAAAGCAGCAGGUUAAUACCCCGCUGUUCUGACGGUACCCAAAGAAUAAGCACCGGCUAACUUCGU